AGGGAAUAUUGGACAAUGGAGGCAACUCUGAUCCAGCCAUGCCGCGUGGAGGAUGACUGCCCUCUGGGUUGUAAACUCCUUUUGUACAGGAAGAAACCUCCUCAUUUAUGAGUGAGCUGACGGUACUGUAAGAAUAAGCACCGGCUAACUCCGUGCCAGCAGCCGCGGUAAUACGGAGGGUGCAAGCGUUAUCCGGAUUUACUGGGUUUAAAGGGUGCGUAGGCGGUUUUAUAAGUCAGUGGUGAAAUCAACGGGCUCAACCUGUUAACUGCCAUUGAUACUGUAGGACUUGAAUUUGGUAGAGGUAGGCGGAAUGAUGCAUGUAGCGGUGAAAUGCUUAGAUAUGCUUCGGAACACCGAUUGCGAAGGCAGCUUACUAUGUCAAUAUUGACGCUGAUGCACGAAAGCGUGGGUAGCGAAC
rnacentral:rRNA from 1 species